CUCGCUCUGCAAUUCAGAGUUAUUAGUGAAACAGCAAGUCAAAAGUAAAUUCUUAGUAUUCCGCGUUACCGUUGUUAUCCUCAGUGUUUCCCUUAGCUUCAUCGUUACAUUUAAUAGUUCGAUUUUUCAGCGCAUUAAAUUUUAAACACAUUUAAGAGGGACACACUAUGUCUAACAAAACUAACGGUACUGUAAAAUGGUUCAACGAAGAGAAAGGAUUUGGUUUCAUCACUCCUGAAAACGGUGGUGCUGACGUAUUCGUUCACUUCCGUGCAAUCGCUUCAGAAGGUUUCAAAACUCUAAAAGAAGGCCAACAGGUUUCUUUUGAAGUUGAACAAGGUCAAAAAGGACCACAAGCUGCAAACGUUGUUGCUGCUUAAGAAGUCUUGAUACAAGUGGUGUCAAUUGUCACCACUUGUAUU
rnacentral:sRNA from 1 species